CAAUUGAAUAGUAGAUAUUAAUUUUGUUAAUACAUCUUUUGAUCAUUCAAAAACACUCCUAAAUGAAGUGUUUUUGUGUCGAAUAUUUUCAAUACAUUAGGGAAAUGUAUUUGGAAUAUUUUCAAGAGUUUAGAAUAAUGAAUUAGAAUUGAGGAGUGUGCAUGGGGUUCGUGGUCAUUUCAGAAAAACCCCCACAGCUGGUAGAGUCAGACUGUGCCCCUUAUUUUUGUCCUAUUAACGGAACCCUCUUCUUUCAACUCCUUUUUAUUUUACCCAACAAAUCAUUCUCUUCAUCAUCACAUAUUCUAAUCUCUAUCCCUUUCAUCUUUUUCUCUGUUUUCCCCCAUAAACUAAGCCGAUACUUCUGGGGUGGCAAAAUACCAUGUAACGGGAGAGAGAGCUUUUGUAUUGCGGGGAAUGUUGUCUGGCUCGAGGAAUCAAAAAUUGUUUCUUAUAGAUAGAUCUGUAUAUUUUGUUUAUAGAUCUAUAAUGUUUUUGAUGUCGUCGGACCAGGCUUCAUUCCCCACAAUGAAUAUUGCUCUCUCACAACACUUAUUUGUUAGAUCCAUUUUUCUGAUUUUUUUGUGAUGGUAAAUUGUGUGGACAUGAAAGAAGUGGGAAACUGCAGAGGUUCAUUGCAUUAUUGGCAUUCAUCUUCUUAGAGUAACUAAUAUAGGUUGUAAAUGUAGAUCAUUUACAGAGGUCGACUAGUGUUAAAAAUAAAAUAAAAUAAAAAUAUGGAGUAUAAAAAGUGAGUGAAAGGGAAUACUGUUUGUGGUGAUGGAAUCUUUUUGACUUUGCAAAUCAAUAAAGUGGUGGAGGCUGUACGCAUAUUUGCCUUUUUCCUUUAUUUCCACAAACAAACGUGUACACAAAAAACUAGCUGACAAAAGUUUGCUUGAUUUUUAUUUUGUUUAUCUUAACUUAGUUUGAUAGAUACAAUUGUAGUUGUUUUCGCAGUUUGUAUUUGAAAAAGCACUAAUAUAUUUCAAUGUUAAUGCGGUUUUAAUUUCAAUACUGUCAUUUCAUUGUGUUAUUUUCACCAUCUUAUAACUUAAUCAGAAUUAUAUGAUCUGUUAAUUUUUAAUAUGUUACGUACACAUACUCUGGAAGGCUAUGAAAUUCUUCAAUGAUCUUAUUUAUUCUUAAACCUUCAUGAUCAAUAUAACUUAGGCUGAUCCAUGCCUCUUUUUCAAAAAGAUACUUUUUUUUUUUUAAUUUACACUUAAUAGCAUGCUUAAACUUUACACUUAACAGUUACAGAUUCUGUACUCUUUUUAAAUUCUAACGCUUCCCAUGUAAGAUUCCUGCUAUAAAAUGGGAUUACUCAGUUUCUUUUUACUUAUUAUCACCGAUUCAUUUUUUCGUGUAAUUAGACGAUUGACUUUCAAAAAAGUAAAACAUGACUACUAUAUUGGAAACAAGAAUGGAAGAGAACUUACAAGGUUCUAGCUUGGGCCAGAUUUUGAGUGAUGCGCUUAAAGCCCAAACAUGCCACGGCCCCAUCUUUCUGUUGGCCCCACAAUAUAGAGGGCAUAAAGAAGUUAUAUUUAAGAAAAAAUUGUAUAUAAUGACAAAUUAUUAUUUUUAAUUAAAUAUUGUAAUCACAAUUUGAUUU